GAGAAUUGUUUUGGGGUCACCGAGCUCCCCUUGAAUGGCUGCAGUUAGUCAAAGUUCUGCAUCUAUCAGAUAAUUGCAUAAAAGAAUUCAAAAUUUUCUUAUCUCCAGAAUGCAGAAAGAAAAUAGGAGCAUCUGCUAUUGGCAAAAGGCACUGAGAGCACUAGCAGGCUUCUGGAGAAAACUGCUGCUGAGAUGGGAGCACUUCCAGCUCACAGGAAUUUCAAGAGACUGAGAGGACACCUCUUUCAGCUUUAUGCAGCCCACUGAAAAAUUAUCUUAUUUCCCCCUUGAUGGUGUUUGCCUCUAGAUUAUAAAUAAUAAAUCAGACCUCUUUCCCA